rnacentral:misc_RNA from 1 species
GCGUCAUUGCACCCCUCAAGCUCCGGCUUGGUCUUGGGUCUUCGCCCCCCGGGCGGCCCCGAAAACCAGUGGCGGUCCGGAGCGACUUUAAGCGUAGUACAUCCAUCGCCCGCUUUGAAAGUGCGCCCCGCGGCUUGCGAUCACCCCCCGACAUUUCAAUGAUUGACCUCGGAUCAGGUAGGGAUACCCGCUGAACUUAA